GCCCGGGUGGCGCAACAGGCAGACGCGCCCGCCUUAAAAGCGGUUCUCGUGUGGGUUCGACUCCCACCCCGGGCA
rnacentral:tRNA from 1 species